rnacentral:rRNA from 1 species
AGAGUUUGAUCCUGGCUCAGAAUGAACGCUAGCGAUAUGCUUAACACAUGCAAGUUGAACGUUGUUUUCGAAGAAAAAUGAAAACAAAGUGGCGAACGGGUGCGUAACACGUAGGAAUCUGCCAAACAGUUUGGGCCAAAUCCUGAAUGAAUAAAAGCUAAAAAGCGCUGUUUGAUGAGCCCACGUAGUAUUAGGUAGUUGGUUAGGUAAAAGCUGACCAAGCCUACGAUGCUUAGCUGGUCUUUUCGGAUGAUCAGCCACACUGGGACUGAGACACGGCCCAGACUCCUACGGGAGGCAGCAGUGGGGAAUCUUGCGCAAUGGGCGGAAGCCUGACGCAGCAACGCCGCGUGGGGGAUGAAGGCUUUCGGGUUGUAAACCCCUUUCAGCAGGGACGAUUCUGACGGUACCUGCAGAAGAAGGACCGGCCAACUACGUGCCAGCAGCCGCGGUAAUACGUAGGGUCCGAGCGUUGUCCGGAUUUAUUGGGCGUAAAGAGCUCGUAGGUGGCUCCGUAAGUCGGGUGUGAAAACCCCAGGCUCAACCUGGGGACGCCACCUGAUACUGCGGUAGCUUGAGUCUGGUAGGGGAUCUCGGAAUUCCUGGUGUAGCGGUGAAAUGCGCAGAUAUCAGGAGGAACACCAGUGGCGAAGGCGGAGAUCUGGGCCAGUACUGACACUGAGGAGCGAAAGCGUGGGGAGCGAACAGGAUUAGAUACCCCCGUAGUCC